CGCGGCCGCGGGGAGGCGGCCCCGCAGCGACUGCCUGACUGGGGGUCCGAGGUGACCCCAGGAGGGAAGAUGUGGGGAACUGAGGCGGCAGGGGCGGGCGCUGUGAAAUAUAAGGGCCCCAGGGAACCUGUCUACAAAACUGGUGAUGCAAGACCUGGAAGGAAAACCAGACCCGUUUCCAGAUCUCUGUCCUAGAGGUUGGAGCUGAAGGAAGAUGGAGCCUAGGCCCCUGUCAGUUAGGCACUAUGCUGCCCCGAGGGGCCUCAGGUCAAUGGGUCUGUCUGGCCCAUCCUGUUUUUAAACCAGUGGCUGCCACUAGAGGAGUUGUAGAGAACUCUCUCGUGGUGCUCAGGCUGGUUGGAGUCUCAGCAUCCUACCCCAAGACAAGUCCCUGGAGUUCACACCACAGACAGGGGCUUUCUGACGUGGAAUGACCUAUAGAUGAAAUGCAAUGAAGAGCAGGAAGCAGUGAGGUCCGGAACACCACCUUUCCACCCGAGAUGGUGCAGCCUCUAGGGAGGCCCUGCCCCCAGAAGCUUGAUCACCCUGGGACCCUCAGCAACCCUAGAGUCCAGGCUUGAGCCAAUCAUGGAGACACUGCAGAAAGCAACAUCUGAGGUUUGGACCCUUUGAACCUGGGAGGUCUAAAACUAUCAAUGUAAAGUAAAUAGCUUCACAGUCACCCUGGUUCCUGACUCGAGUCCUCAAAAUCCCAGGGCAGAAGAACUUUUGGUCUUAUCUAAUGCACAGUUUUCAUUUCAUAGAUGAAAAAACUAAGCACCCAAGACAGAAAAUGACUGCCCAUGAACACAAAGCCAGUGAAUGGCAGAAUUCAGUCUAGAACCCAUUUCCAUUUACUACAACUUAGUAAACUACAACUCUUCAAUAGAACCUCUUUUCAAAUUGAUCUUGCCUCCAAUGAAAGAGACAAGAAUGCAAUCAUAUCUACACUGCUCAGCUGUCUCCGAUUCUCUGAUCAAAAAAAAAAAAAGAAAUAAAGAAAAGAAAAAUUAACAGGG